rnacentral:rRNA from 1 species
AGCUCCAAUAGCGUAUAUUAAAGUUGCUGCAGUUGAAAAGCUCGUAGUUGCAUUUCCGAGGCAAGGGAUUAGUCCGACCUUUGGUGGGUAUUUAAUCCUCUUGCCUCGUCCUUGAGUGGUGCUUCUUGGUAUUAAGUUAUCGAGAAGAUAGCCGCUCAUCGUUUACUGUGAGAAAAUUAGAGUGUUCAAAGCAGGCUUAUGCCGUUGAAUAUAUUAGCAUGGAAUAAUAAGAUAGGACCUCGGUACUAUUUUGUUGGUUUGAGAACCAAGGUAAUGAUGAAUAGGGACAGUUGGGGGUAUUCGUAUUCAGUUGUCAGAGGUGAAAUUCUUAGAUUUACGGAAGACGAACUACUGCGAAAGCAUUUACCAAGGAUGUUUUCA